CCUACGGGGGGCAGCAGUGAGGAAUAUUGGUCAAUGGGCGCGAGCCUGAACCAGCCAAGUCGCGUGAGGGAUGAAGGUUCUAUGGAUCGUAAACCUCUUUUAUAAGGGAAUAAAGUGUGGGACGUGUCCUAUUUUGUAUGUACCUUAUGAAUAAGGAUCGGCUAACUCCGUGCCAGCAGCCGCGGUAAUACGGAGGAUCCGAGCGUUAUCCGGAUUUAUUGGGUUUAAAGGGUGCGUAGGCGGCCUUUUAAGUCAGCGGUGAAAGUCUGUGGCUCAACCAUAGAAUUGCCGUUGAAACUGGGGAUCUUGAGUGGGCGAGAAGUAUGCGGAAUGCGUGGUGUAGCGGUGAAAUGCAUAGAUAUCACGCAGAACUCCGAUUGCGAAGGCAGCAUACCGGCGCCCGACUGACGCUGAGGCACGAAAGCGUGGGGAUCGAACAGGAUUAGAUACCCUGGUAGUC
rnacentral:rRNA from 1 species